UUAGUACUCCCUCCAUCCAACAAAGAAUGUCUCAAUUUUGACUAAAUUUGAAUGCAUCUAUACAUUAAAUCAUGUUUAGAUACAUUUAAUUUUUGACAAACUUAAGACAUCUUUUGUUGGACGGAGGAAGCACACA
rfam:Brachypodium distachyon strain Bd21 chromosome 1, whole genome shotgun sequence.